rnacentral:rRNA from 1 species
UGAGUAAUGUCUGGGAAACUGCCUGAUGGAGGGGGAUAACUACUGGAAACGGUAGCUAAUACCGCAUAACGUCUUCGGACCAGAGUGGGGGACCUUCGGGCCUCAUGCCAUCAGAUGUGCCCAGAUGGGAUUAGCUAGUAGGUGGGGUAACGGCUCACCUAGGCGACGAUCCCUAGCUGGUCUGAGAGGAUGACCAGCCACACUGGAACUGAGACACGGUCCAGACUCCUACGGGAGGCAGCAGUGGGGAAUAUUGCACAAUGGGCGCAAGCCUGAUGCAGCCAUGCCGCGUGUAUGAAGAAGGCCUUCGGGUUGUAAAGUACUUUCAGCGAGGAGGAAGGCAUUAAGGUUAAUAACCUUAGUGAUUGACGUUACUCGCAGAAGAAGCACCGGCUAACUCCGUGCCAGCAGCCGCGGUAAUACGGAGGGUGCAAGCGUUAAUCGGAAUUACUGGGCGUAAAGCGCACGCAGGCGGUCUGUCAAGUCGGAUGUGAAAUCCCCGGG